AUGGAUCCCAACAUGAAGCAGCUUCAAGGGACUCUGAUUGACAUAGAAACAGACGCGGAGCAACUUCUUCUGGCAAGGCAUCAGCUAGUGGAGAACGAUAGGAUGAGGAAUGCUAACAGGGAGGCCCUAACGGCCCUCCGGAAAAAAGCCAAGACAACUAAAACCAGUGUCCCAUCUCCAUUUGAGAUCGUAAUGAAAGAGAUGGAAGGAACUUCCGCCAAACAGCUAGUGAAGGAGAUAUGCUCAACUUGCGGGAAUCACGACCCCAAAGAACAUACCUGGCUAAUGUUUCCAGGCUCAGAUAUUUUGGCUCGUGUUCCAUUUCAUGUAGCGCACACUGUUCUGGAUAAAGGUAUUUACCUUCUUGGAUCUUGA
rnacentral:rRNA from 1 species